ensembl:lncRNA
GGGAGGCCUGGCGUGCUGCAGUCCAUGGGGUCACAAAGAGUUGAACACGAAUGAGAGACGGAACUGACAUCGAAACAACAGCACAGAGCCACCGUCGCCGCUGUUACACCUAGCACCCAGGACGGCAGGAAAGGGCAUGUGUGCAUGGGUCAGAGCAGUCUCCGACGGCUGCACACCCACUCUGCUUGCUGGGGGACACGCGGAUACAGUCACAGGAGGCCCGAGCUAGGCCCAGGCCUCCUCCCGCUCCCCCCAUGUCCCAGCACUGCCCCCCAACCUCACAAGCUCUUGGAGGCACACAGAAGAGCGAGUCCGUUAUUUCUGGGGGCAGGAACCCCUCUGAGAAGCCAAGAGUCACAGAUAACGCACACCCCCAGGUUCUCCAGCAUCUAUAAGGGGAGGCCCCGUGGACCAAGCACCAAGUCAACAGUCGACAGACCCCAAGGAACGAUGGGCCUGUCCCUCCACACACGACCGGACUCUCGUCCCCGAGCGGGGCCCCUGCCCAGUACAUGUCAACACACACUUCCUCAAACUCGGGUCACUGCCCCUGGGAGGCCUCCUCCCCUCCUCAGGGCUCCCUCCGCCUUCUUUGGCUGCUGAGACGGCAAACGGGUGUGUUUCUGGAGAGCACGAGAAACUUCCACUGGGGAGGACGCGCCAAGGGGGACAGCACCUCUGCCUGACUCCUCCACUUUUCCGGGGAGCCCGCAGACCCCAGGCUAGACCCGCACGCCCCACGGCUCUGAGAGGACACCCAAGGCAGCGAGGGGGUCAUUUCAGGAAAGAACAAAGGGCCCCGAAGACGGACAGUGGGGCCCCAGAGCGAACUCAAGAGCCAAAGUGCAGGGCGGCCAGGCGGCUCCCACUCACACACCGUCCUUGCUGUGAGCAUUUCAUGGGGAUCAGUCAGGGAAGAGAUGUCUAAAAUGGCCCUCGGGGACAGCACCAGAGGCUGACUCGCUGGCCUGGGCUGAGGGGGUGGAGAUGCUGUGGGCCCCGGGACUGGCCCGUCCUGGCUCCGCCCCCCACGGUGGAGACGAUCAAUCCGGCUGGACCUCGGCCCCUUCACCUGCCGCCUCCCAGGCCAGGCGGUGCUGCUGUGACUUCCCUCUGAGCCGUAAUGACACCCGCCAGGCUCCCUCACCGAUUCAGUUAAACGAGCUCCCGGACACGCGCUGGCUUAGAGAAUGAGAGCUGUGAUGGUACCUUUUCUUUCUUUAACCACCUUUCAACGGCACUAACCAAGGGGACCGUGUGAGGAAAAGCACAUUCCGCGAGUUCAGAGCCUACAAGCACCCGGAGGACAAACGCAGAAAGGGAAGAGCGCAACUGGGGCAACGAGAAGCCCAAGAGGGGACGACCCGGCCCAGGGACCCCCGCGGCCCAGUGACCCCCGCGGCCCUCGCCCAACGCCCUGCCCUCUUGGAGCACCGCGGGCUGGGCUCGGUGACCAGGGGGCGGAGGGAAUGAACCCUCCCCCCGCCCUCCCCGCGGGCCAACCGGCCCUCCCUAGCUUCUGAGCUCUCCCGUGCCUGGAAAACACCCGAUCGCAUUCCUCCCGUACCUCCCCACCCUUCCCUGCGGAAAACCUGCCACCGCGAUUCCCGGGGCAGGGAGGAAAAGCGGUCAGCUAGAACACGAGGGGCUGUAACUUAAAGCUUGUUUCCAAAGCGUGGUCUUUCCCCGUCUCUCAGACGCUCGAGAUUGACAGGAACGCACCAGGCUUCUCCGCCAGCCCUCGCACAGCUUAAGGGAUCCGGUCCAAACUCCUGAGAGCCCCACACAAGGGCACAGGGGUGCCGCCCCGCCUCUGCGGGAGC